rnacentral:pre_miRNA from 1 species
UGCGUAAAAGGAGCAGCGGGUCCAGCCGGUGUUCCAGGACAACCUGGAAAACCGGGUAGACCUGGAGCUCCGGGCACGC